AGAGUUUGAUCAUGGCUCAGAUUGAACGCUGGCGGCAGGCCUAACACAUGCAAGUCGAGCGGUAGCACAGAGAGCUUGCUCUCGGGUGACGAGCGGCGGACGGGUGAGUAAUGUCUGGGAAACUGCCUGAUGGAGGGGGAUAACUACUGGAAACGGUAGCUAAUACCGCAUAACGUCGCAAGACCAAAGUGGGGGACCUUCGGGCCUCAUGCCAUCAGAUGUGCCCAGAUGGGAUUAGCUAGUAGGUGGGGUAACGGCUCACCUAGGCGACGAUCCCUAGCUGGUCUGAGAGGAUGACCAGCCACACUGGAACUGAGACACGGUCCAGACUCCUACGGGAGGCAGCAGUGGGGAAUAUUGCACAAUGGGCGCAAGCCUGAUGCAGCCAUGCCGCGUGUGUGAAGAAGGCCUUCGGGUUGUAAAGCACUUUCAGCGGGGAGGAAGGCGUUAAGGUUAAUAACCUUAGCGAUUGACGUUACCCGCAGAAGAAGCACCGGCUAACUCCGUGCCAGCAGCCGCGGUAAUACGGAGGGUGCAAGCGUUAAUCGGAAUUACUGGGCGUAAAGCGCACGCAGGCGGUCUGUCAAGUCGGAUGUGAAAUCCCCGGGCUCAACCUGGGAACUGCAUUCGAAACUGGCAGGCUAGAGUCUUGUAGAGGGGGGUAGAAUUCCAGGUGUAGCGGUGAAAUGCGUAGAGAUCUGGAGGAAUACCGGUGGCGAAGGCGGCCCCCUGGACAAAGACUGACGCUCAGGUGCGAAAGCGUGGGGAGCAAACAGGAUUAGAUACCCUGGUAGUCCACGCCGUAAACGAUGUCGAUUUGGAGGUUGUGCCCUUGAGGCGUGGCUUCCGGAGCUAACGCGUUAAAUCGACCGCCUGGGGAGUACGGCCGCAAGGUUAAAACUCAAAUGAAUUGACGGGGGCCCGCACAAGCGGUGGAGCAUGUGGUUUAAUUCGAUGCAACGCGAAGAACCUUACCUGGUCUUGACAUCCACAGAACUUUCCAGAGAUGGAUUGGUGCCUUCGGGAACUGUGAGACAGGUGCUGCAUGGCUGUCGUCAGCUCGUGUUGUGAAAUGUUGGGUUAAGUCCCGCAACGAGCGCAACCCUUAUCCUUUGUUGCCAGCGGUUAGGCCGGGAACUCAAAGGAGACUGCCAGUGAUAAACUGGAGGAAGGUGGGGAUGACGUCAAGUCAUCAUGGCCCUUACGACCAGGGCUACACACGUGCUACAAUGGCAUAUACAAAGAGAAGCGACCUCGCGAGAGCAAGCGGACCUCAUAAAGUAUGUCGUAGUCCGGAUUGGAGUCUGCAACUCGACUCCAUGAAGUCGGAAUCGCUAGUAAUCGUAGAUCAGAAUGCUACGGUGAAUACGUUCCCGGGCCUUGUACACACCGCCCGUCACACCAUGGGAGUGGGUUGCAAAAGAAGUAGGUAGCUUAACCUUCGGGAGGGCGCUUACCACUUUGUGAUUCAUGACUGGGGUGAAGUCGUAACAAGGUAACCGUAGGGGAACCUGCGGUUGGAUCACCU
rnacentral:rRNA from 1 species